GGAGAGGUACCGAAGUGGUCAUAACGGGGCCGACUCGAAAUCGGUUUGGGGGGUAACACUCCCACGUGGGUUCGAAUCCCACCCUCUCCGCCA
rnacentral:tRNA from 1 species